AAUAGAUACCCCGGUAGUCCAUGCCGUAAACGUUGGGCACUAGGUGUGGGGGACAUUCCACGUUUUCCGCGCCGUAGCUAACGCAUUAAGUGCCCCGCCUGGGGAGUACGGCCGCAAGGCUAAAACUCAAAGGAAUUGACGGGGGCCCGCACAAGCGGCGGAGCAUGCGGAUUAAUUCGAUGCAACGCGAAGAACCUUACCAAGGCUUGACAUGAACCGGAAAGACCUGGAAACAGGUCCCCCACUUGUGGUCGGUUUACAGGUGGUGCAUGGUUGUCGUCAGCUCGUGUCGUGAGAUGUUGGGUUAAGUCCCGCAACGAGCGCAACCCUCGUUCUAUGUUGCCAGCACGUGAUGGUGGGGACUCAUAGGAGACUGCCGGGGUCAACUCGGAGGAAGGUGGGGACGACGUCAAAUCAUCAUGCCCCUUAUGUCUUGGGCUUCACGCAUGCUACAAUGGCCGGUACAAAGGGUUGCGAUACUGUGAGGUGGAGCUAAUCCCAAAAAGCCGGUCUCAGUUCGGAUUGGGGUCUGCAACUCGACCCCAUG
rnacentral:rRNA from 1 species